rnacentral:lncRNA from 1 species
UUUGGGUGGCCCGCUGGAUACCCAAGUAAUUCAUAACAAGUUUGGACCCAAUGGCCCAAUUCUCCUCAAUGGGUACAAUGAGGGCGUCCUCUUCCACAUCCUGCACGUUUCUUUUUUUGAUCAAUUCGACGUCCUCCACUGAAUUUAUCUGGUGAUUUUUCUUGUGAUCUGAAAUCAUGUGAACUAUAUGGACGGUCGAACCUUCCUGCACUAACCGAUGGAGUGGAUUUGUUGCUAUUGUUGCUUCGAACAGCCAUAGCAGCGUUACCACCAGAAUCUCCUGCAGCGUGUGUUGAACUCAAGAGACGUUGCUUUUCUUCUUGAGAGACGGAGGAAUAUGCCUGGCGAACUGAAGGAAAGGGGUUCAUCAGGUGGAUUUGGCUGCGAACACCACUAUAAGAAUCAUUUAAUCCCACUAGAAAUUGCAUCAAUUUUUGUUGAUCUUGUUGUGCCCCAUGUACUACAUCGCUAUAGGAACUUAGUUCAUCCCAUAGGCCCUUUAAUUUUGUGUAAUAAGCAGAGACAGAGAGUUGUUCUUGUCGAAGAUAGGCAAUAUCUCGCUGAAUCUCGAAGAUGCGAGGUGCGUUGCUUUGAGAGAAUCGUUUAGAAAGAUCUUCCCAAACUUCAUUCGGUAGAGUAAUAUAUUACACUGUCUGAAAUUUUCGGACUGAGAGUGUUGACGAUCCAGAAUGGACCAUAUCAUUACACCGAGACCAAGCUGCAUAAUUUUCAGGAUCUGUCUUUUUUGAAGUUACAUUGAUUGAUCCAUCGACAAAACCUAGUUUGUUUUUGGAAUUUAGAGCUAGAGUCAUAGCCCUUUUCCUAGUGGAAUAAUUGUCUCCAUUCAAGGGUUUGAGAUAUUCGGUCUAGAAGAAUUUGCAUCAGGAUCGGCAAUUUCUUUGCCAAGAACAGAAGGAGUUGGUGGUAAUUCAUCAUUGGCCAUGACGGCUGAAAGAGAAAGAUGCUACAAGAGAGAUUUAAAGUGCAGUGAUGAACAAGGAUCUUAGUCUCUAUAUUCAAUCAUGGCAUUCUCCAAUUUCCUUUUAACUUUGUUUUUCUCUUGUUCUAUGAUUUCUCUUAUCGAUGCCAGCAGUAAUGGCAUCACAGUCGAUCUCUUUCAUCACUCUUUUGUUGUUCAGAUCAGUAAGGUUACAAAACCCAAUUCUUAUUCCGAAGCCGCCAUUCAUCCUAAAUGGCAGGAAGCCAUGCGUUCCGAAUUACAAGCUCUCCAAGCCAAUGAGACUUGGUCUCUCAUUCCACUCCCAUUUGACAAGACUCUUAUUGGGUGCAGAUGGGACACCUUUUCCCCCACUGCUGAAAUAAUCUCAAUUUAUUGCUUGCUCGCUUUGGCUGCCUCUUGUGGCUGGUCCAUUCACCAAAUGGAUGUCAACAAUGUCUUUCUUCAUGGCAAUUUAGUUGAAGAAAUAUACAUGUCUCCAUCGCCAAGGCUUCGGCGAUAGGGAGAGGAUAACUUGGUUUAUCGCCUUCAUAAGUCAUUGUACGGAUUGAAACAGGCAUCUCGCUAGUGGUUCGCCAAGUUCUCUGAGGCUAUUUGCUUCGCUGGUUAUGUACAAUCUUGAACUGAUUACUCUCUGUUCACUAGAAAACAAGGCAAGUCAUUUACUGCUCUCUUGAUAUAUGUUGACGAUAUUUUAAUUACCGGGAAUGAUCCUGUUAGCAUUGGUGCAACUAAAAAAUUUUUGCACAGUCAUUUUCAUCUAAAAGAUCUUGGUAAUUUGAAGUACUUUCGUGGUAUUGAGGUAUCUACUUCUAAGAAUGAAAUUUUUAUUUCCCAACGUAAGUAUGCGUUAGAAAUCAUUAAGGAUGCAGGGCUGUUAGGUGUAGCUCCUAUUGAUACUCCAGCGGAACGAGGCUUGAAAUUAUCAGACAAGAGUGACUUGCUUAAAGAUUCGAGUCAGUAUAGAAGAUUAGUCGGCAGAUUAAUUUACUUGACUGUUUCGAGGCCGGAUAUAACAUAUGCUGUACAUGUCCUGAGUAGAUUUAUGCACCAACCUCGAAAACUUCAUAUGGAGGCAGCUCUUCGGGUCGUCCGAUAUCUAAAAGGUGCUCCGGGAAAAGGUCUAUUCUUCUCUUCGAAUAGUGAUUUCAAGUUGAGAGCUUACUAUUACUCGGAUUGGGCAGGUUGCCCACUCACUAAGAGAUCUACUAUGGGUUAUUGUGUCUUUCUUGGCCCUUCAUUGAUAUCUUGGAGGUCGAAACGACAAAAAACAAUUUUACUUUCUUCUGCUAAGGCGGAAUAUCGUGCAAUGACGGGAGCCUGCUGUGAGUUGACAUGGCUUCGAUAUCUAUUGAAAGACUUGGGACUUUCACAUCGUGAACCUGCUUUGCUUUAUUGUGAUAACAAGGCUGCCCUACACAUUGCAGCCAACCCAGUUUUUCAUGAGUGAACUAGGCACAUUGAGAUGGAUUGCCAUUACAUUAGAGACAAGAUCCAAGAUGGUUCUGUGACUACAAAAUAUGUAAAUUCUGCACAUCAACUAGCAGAUGUCUUGACAAAGCCCUUGGGGAAAGAGGUUUUUGUUCCUAUGAUCCACAAGUUGGGAGUGCAAGAUAUCCACUCUCCAACUUGAGGGGGAGUAUUAGGAAAUAAAGCUGUAUAUAUUAUCUUUCAUAUUUGUAGCAUAUUAUCUUUCCUAUUGUAUUGCCUAACUUUUAGCUAGACGACUCAUAAUCCCUGAUUUGUAGGAGUAGUCAAUUUUUCUUCCUGUAUAAAUACACGAUAGAGUAUCAAUAAUAUUCAUUCAAGCAAAUUCAAUAUCUCUUCCAUCUUUUCAGGUUAGGGGUUUUAUUUGUUCCCAUGCCAUACAUUUUUGUUUUUGUUUGUAGAACUACAUGUCAACGUGACUCGUUCAUUAGCAGGUUAG